UCAAGGAGGUCACCCCACACUCAACAUUCCCCCAGCACAGCCAGAGACAUGAUACAUUGGUUGGACCUCCUCUUUUUGUUAGCAGCUCUUUCAAGUUGCCAGUCAGAAGUCCAAGUGGUGGAAACUGGAGGUGGGGUUGUAAGCCCUGGAGCCUCCCUCUACCUCUCCUGCAAGGCUUCAGGAUUCACUUUCACUAGCUAUAACAUGCACUGGAUGCGGCAGGCUUCAGGGAAAGGCCUGGAGUGGGUGGCUGGAAUUAGCACCAAUGGAGGUACCCAGUGGUACAACUCCAUGGUUAAAGGGCGAUUCACCAUCUCCAGAGACAAUUCCCAAAGUUCAGCCUAUCUGCGAACAAGCAGCUUGAUGCCUGAAGACUCUGCCUUGUAUUACUGUGCAAGAUACACAGUGACUUCCUCCUUAUACAAAAACUCCCGCUUGCAUUAA